GUGUUGCCUAAUCUAUGUAGGCCUAAAUCCCUGCGAGACUUAGUAAUUUUUUUUCCUUUUCAUCCAUUCUUCACAGUUCACACCAACACACGCGUAACUUAGCCAAAUCGGUGCCUCUCAGCUCUCACCACCAACACCAACACCAACACUCUGAUCUCGUCGUUAUCGAAGAAUCACUCCGUGCCUCUCACAACCCAAAUACAUUUCGCCGUCGUCGCACCAACCACUCGAGAUCCAUCGGUGUCGCCACUCCAGAACCGCAGCUCCUCUUCCACACUCACCGUUCCUCUUCCCAACUCGAUGCUAACCACUCAAGAACCAUCAAUCGUCAGCAUUGGUCGUCAUCAGCAUCGUCAGCUUUGGUCGUUAGAAUCGUCAGCACCAACCACUCGACGCUAAUCCCAAAUAUGUUUCGCUGCGUGCUCACAAUUUAGGGUUCUAAAAUUUCAGUGGGUUAGGGUUUCGAUUUUAGGGAUUUCAAUUUGGGGGUUUGGGAAUGUUGCAUACUGUGAAAGUUUCUAAAUGUGAUACUGUCUUGCUUCCUUGGAAGAAUCUUUCUCUUCAGCGCAUGUUUGUAGUUUUGACUGACAAGGAGCAACUUCCAUGGCUGUAUCUGGGUGCCUGUAACUUGGUUUCUGGGUUAUCAAUGGGAUACAAAAUAAUGAAACAAGUUCAUGAAAAUUAACUAAGAAAAAGGAGUGAUAAAAAAGUUGAGUUUGCAAUGCAAUCCCUUCUAGGCUAUUAGCCUUUGUGGUAAACAGGUUUCAAACUACAAUGCAAUCAAAAAAUUAAGAGCUGUUUAUAUUUGCUUCUUCUUUUGGAAUUUGAAAAAUCUCAAUAAAAGACCAGCUUGAUGCAAUUUGGGCUAAGGCCUGUCAUCCAUUGUUACUAUUGUGGGUAGAUUUUUCAGUUCUCACAAGGGCAAGGAGCUUGAACUUUCUUAUUCAUUAUUUUUGCUAAAUACUUGUGAUAUCAGGUUUUGAUUUUAAGCCAAUACUAAAAGUAUUCAAAUUUUGUGCUAUCUGAGACCACCUGCUCAAAUUUAAGUUGCUCCUGGUUAUGAUAUGUGUGAUAAUAAUUGGUUGGACUAAAGAGUAGGAUAAUUAUAUGCUUAUAUCAAAAUGUUCUAUUUAAAUAUUUCAUUUAAACAAUUUUGGCAUUUAACUUAAUUUUUUCUGAUCCUCUUUCCCACUUUUUUUCCCUCCUCACUUAUUGUAGGAUGUGAUUGUUUCAUUUCUUUUGUAGGGUUUUCAAGAAGAAUGUUCCUCUUUUGUUAAAGGGAGAGACUAAGCAUCAAAUUCUAAACAGUAUUAUUAAGGACUUGUUAAAGUAAGUAAUCAAACAAUUUCUCCUAGUUCUGUUCACAUUGAUAAUUUGGAUAAGUUAAAGUAAGUAAUUUCCUUAGAUUUCUCCCGGUUCUGUUCACAUUGAUAAUUUGGAUAAGGUGGGCUUUUUUUAGCCCUUUUAUUCUGUUUCUUCUAAACUUCCAACUUUGGUUAAUAAGGCUAAUUUCUUCUUAUUAACUUAUAUUUUUCUGGCCUUGAUCAGAACUGUACUUUUAGUUUAUGGCUUGUUCAUUAUUUCAGAUACUGCACUUAUUUAAUUGAUACAUUUUAUUUAUUUAAUUGCUCUAUAGAGAUAACCAAUGUGUAUUAGGUUCAAAAAUUGUCUCUCAUGAUUGACACUUUUGCUUCGGUUUUUCUACCUUAUUCAUAAUUUUUCUAUAUGCAUAUCUAUUAUUGUUGAAAUAAUUUGCGUAUCCUGAAUGCUCAAUACAUGUGAAACAGUUUCUGCAAAUUGAUUUAUGAAAAUACACAUUGAAAAAUAGUGGUUUUGCAUAAUUCUAUGUCUUUCAAGUGGGAUUGAACAGAUUAUACACACCUAAUUAAUUUUCUUACAAAACCUGAAAAUUCAUACACACCUAAUUAAUAGUGAUUUUUCCAUCAAAUAUUAGCAUGCUGUUACUAUAUAUUUAAUACUAACAAUACACAGAAUCAACUUAUAUAUAAUUAGAAGUUUGUUACAUUAGAUAUUUCUUUUACUGCUAAAAAAGAUUUGGAUUCUGAAUUGGAUUAACUCCACUUGAUGAAAAAGGGUUGAGCUGAGAACUUGAGAUAUACAAAAUACCUGCUUUUCAUUUGAUGAAAGCAGUUAUUUGAAAUGCAUAAAAAGUUCACUAUGUAUUGCCCAGAUAACUGACACAUUUUGUCGCUAUUUUCUUCAUCUUUCAAUGUAUUGCCGCUAUGUUAUAUCAUGCAUCACACUACUUUGUAUGCUGAAUUCUUUUGAUGCUACAUUAGUAUCUUUUGUGAGACCUGCAUCCAAUGUAUCAUUAGGAGCCCUGCAUAAUUCUUUGUCUUGUCCUUAGUUCUUAUCCUCAUUUGCAUGUGGGUACCAUUGGAAGUUUUAUUUUCAGGGACUCUUAUAUGAAGCUAAUUUAAUUGAUUUACCUUUAUUUUUUUACUAGGUGAAUUUUUUUAUGACUAAAGUUAUUCAUAUUGGAAAAAUAGUGUAUCUGCUAGAUGAGCUAUAUGCUGCUGUCACUGACAGCUUGCUUGUAUUGAAGCUCCAUUAAUAAUUUUAAAUACUGUUAAUUUCAAGAAUUUUAAAUAAUGAACUAUAUACCUUUACCCCGAAAAAAACCAGAAUUUAUCAAUAACUUGCACCAAUAAUACAUAAUAUUGACUAAUAUUAUUAGAAAGUUGACUUUAUUUUUUGUUUGCAUGGAUCAAAAUUGAAGGCAGAAGUUUUUGGUUAAGGUCUUCCAAGCAGAUUUUAUCAAAAUCUUGAUCGUGUCAUGGCAAGGAUAAUAAUGAAGAUUAAGCGGAUUAUUAUUGUGGUUUAUUGGCUAAGAUAGAGUAGUGUUAGGAAUGGAUACAUGUAUGGUUGACUAAGACUUUUAUUAGAAGAUACUUAUGUAGGAUAUGUUUUUUGUAGAGUAUUAGUAGUAAAUUUUAAGUGGUAUCAUGGUUAUUUUGAUA